GCGAACGUGGCGGAAUUGGUAGACGCGCUGGAUUCAGGUUCCAGUGGGUAACACCGUGGGGGUUCGAGUCCCCCCGUUCGCACCA
rnacentral:tRNA from 1 species